GAUGAACGCUGACAGAAUGCUUAACACAUGCAAGUCAACUUGAACUUCGGUUUGGGUGGCGGACGGGUGAGUAACGCGUAAAGAACUUGCCUCACAGAUAGGGACAACAUUUGGAAACGAAUGCUAAUACCUGAUAUUAUGAUUUUAGGGCAUCCUAGGAUUAUGAAAGCUAUAUGCGCUGUGAGAGAGCUUUGCGUCCCAUUAGCUAGUUGGAGAGGUAACGGCUCACCAAGGCGAUGAUGGGUAGCCGGCCUGAGAGGGUGAUCGGCCACAAGGGGACUGAGACACGGCCCUUACUCCUACGGGAGGCAGCAGUGGGGAAUAUUGGACAAUGGACCAAGAGUCUGAUCCAGCAAUUCUGUGUGCACGAUGAAGUUUUUCGGAAUGUAAAGUGCUUUCAGCUGGGAAGAAAAAAAUGACGGUACCAACAGAAGAAGUGACGGCUAAAUACGUGCCAGCAGCCGCGGUAAUACGUAUGUCACAAGCGUUAUCCGGAUUUAUUGGGCGUAAAGCGCGUCUAGGUGGUUAUGUAAGUCUGAUGUGAAAAUGCAGGGCUCAACUCUGUAUUGCGUUGGAAACUGUGUAACUAGAGUACUGGAGAGGUAAGCGGAACUACAAGUGUAGAGGUGAAAUUCGUAGAUAUUUGUAGGAAUGCCGAUGGGGAAGCCAGCUUACUGGACAGAUACUGACGCUGAAGCGCGAAAGCGUGGGUAGCAAACAGG
rnacentral:rRNA from 1 species